UUAACUAUUCGAUAGUACUCAGACGACACUAACAUUCAGGGUCUGGGUCCUCUGGCGGGCGCGCCCCAGCCGGAGCCGGGGGCCUUGCGGCGGCCCGCCAAAGCAACAAAGGUAGCAAGACACAGGGUGGGAGAUCUACCCCGAAGGGCAUGAACUCUGUAAUGAUCCCUCCGCAGGUUCACCUACGGAGA
rnacentral:misc_RNA from 1 species